CCAAUAGCGUAUAUUAAAGUUGUUGCAGUUAAAAAGCUCGUAGUUGAAUUUCGGGGUUAGUAGGUCGGUCAUGCCACUGGUAUGUACUGGUCUCACUGAUUCCUCCUUCCUGAUGAACCGUAAUGCCAUUAAUUUGGUGUUGCGGGGAAACUGGACUGUUACUUUGAAAAAAUUAGAGUGUUUAAAGCAGGCUAACGCUUGAAUACAUUAGCAUGGAAUAAUGAAAUAGGACGUUCGAUCCUAUUUUGUUGGUUUCUAGGAUUGACGUAAUGAUUAAUAUGGAUAGUUGGGGGCAUUAGUAUUCAAUUGUCAGAGGUGAAAUUCUUGGAUUUAUUGAAGACUAACUACUGCGAAAGCAUUUGCCAAGGAUGUUUUCAUUAAUCAAGAACGAAAGUUAGGGGAUCGAAGACGAUCAGAUACCGUCGUAGUCUUAACCAUAAACUAUGCCGACUAGGGAUCGGAUGAUGUUAAUUUUUUAAUGACUCAUUCGGCGCCUUACG
rnacentral:rRNA from 1 species